rnacentral:rRNA from 1 species
AUGGCGACCAUCAACACCAAACCCAUAAAACCCUCUUGUGGCCUCCUUCUCAUUGCAAUCCUCCUAGCUAUGUCUUCAGACAAUGCACGUGGCGACGACCUACCGCCUUCACCAGCACAGGCGCCACCGCCAUCCCCAGUCGGUGGACGGUGCAAGUUGAGCGAUGAAAUUGCUCUCAAAGUGUGCGUGAACGUCCGCUUGGGCAAGAUGAGCCCGUUUGAGAAGAACCAGUGCUGUCGGCAGAUUCGUCAGACGCCAAACGCCGCGGACUGUUUGUGUUCCACCUUCACCCAAGCACGCGCCCGUGUCUAUGGCAAUGUCCUUGAUGAAAUCAAUGCCAUUCUCACAGUCUGUGGUAAGGCUCGUGUCCACAACCAAUUCUGUCUCUAA